rfam:Triticum aestivum genome assembly, contig: Triticum_aestivum_CS42_TGACv1_scaffold_556230_7AL
UUACUACCCCCUCCGUCUGAAAAUACUUGUCGCAUAAAUGGAUAAAAAUUGAUGUAUCUAUAACUAAAAUACAUCUAGAUACAUUCAUUUCUCCGACAAGUAUUUCUGAAUGGAGGGAGUAUUUA